AAAUUUUUGUAUUCCAAAUUUAAAUUUUAACAACUAAAAUAUUCAGGAACUGAAGAGCAUUUGUCUUAGGAAAAUUGCAGAUUAUCAAAUCUGCCUUUUGUUUAGAGAUAGGGAAAAUGAUGUGACUUUUUUCACUAUUCGAAAGUUGCCACAGUAGGUAUCUCUAGAAACGAUUAUUUUUUCUUUGUUCUGUAGUACAGUAUUAAAUUAAAACAACACAAAACUAGAGAUAAAAUUGAAUUUUAAUUAGAGAAGGAGGAAAACCUAGCCUCUGUCAGAAAUCGCUUUGUUCAAAACAGAAACCUUAUUUUUAGUUAAAUAUUCAAUAAAUAUUUCAAGGAUAAAAGAAAAUAGUGAAAAAUCUAAUCUAGUGAAUAUUUCACAGCUGUAUCUGAAAUUGGUAUCUAGCAUUUAAAAAUAUAAUAGAAACCUCUCAACUUUAGUAAAUUUACAAAUAUUUAAGUAGAACAUAUUGGAAACAGGCAUUUAAUUUCUUAACACAUUGUAUUACCUACGUACAUUCCAUAUGUGAGGUUAUUUGUAAUAAUAGACACUAUUAUAAAUGGACUAAGUAUGUUUCAGCCAAAUAAUACCAGAGGUUCACAUAACCAAAAUGUCUACUGCUUUUUAUUUCUUCUGGCACUGCAAUUAGAAUAAUUUAUUUCUUAAGUAUUUUGCCCAUCUGUUUUUAAGAAUGAUAUUUUAGCCUUUACUCUGCAUUAUUCACUAGUACUUUUUGUCUUCUUUUAUUUGCCUUAAUAGAAGGGGAAGAGAAUUCAAAGAAUUAACCUCAUAUAAACUGUACUUUUUUAGUGUAGCAGUGGGGCUUUCUGGCACGGACUUCAUGCUGGUUAGGGGGAAGCCUUAUAGUGAGCCAUCCCUGUGUACAGAGCUCUCAGGUUAGUGUGGGCUUUGUAAUUUUAUUUCCACAAAUAUUUUUCAGUAGAAGAUAUAGCAUGUUUUGAUGGAAGUUAAGGGAUGGUGACUUCCAUUGGGAAAUUACUUUAAAUGCUUUACAUCAGUUAAUCAAUUUUCAGGAUUUUUUUGACUGAGUUAUUUGUUUAAAUGUGAUUAGUUAUAUCUUAGGAGUUUUGUGGACUUUUCCCCCCUUUGGGGUUAAAAAGAUAUGAUAAUAAUGCUUUAAUAGAGAACAUGUACUAUAUAAAGCCCACUUUUAUAUCACUUCUUUUGAAACCUUUCCAUCAUUAUUUAUAUAAAAAUUAGGUGAAAUAUUUAAAAAGCUAAAAUUGUUGACUCUCACAUCAGUUCUAAAAUAAUUUGAAAAUUUUGAGAACAUGUCUUGUAAUCCUGCUUUGUGAUUAACUUUUAUCUAAGAACCCCACUUUACCUGAGUGUCACUUAAUAAAAUGCUGAGUUGAAGCAGCAGCUUAGCUAAUGAGCAGAGCAAAAAUAAUGUACAAAAAUUAUUUUUGGGGAAUAGAUAUUACAAAUCUCUAUGGACAGUUGAUAAGAUAUGCUUAUGUCUUAAAGAGGAUUAAUUUAUAGUAGCCAAACACUUUAGUCUUUCAUCAUUAGUAUUAAAAUAUUGAGAAUCAAAAUAUCAGAGUGCUUUGAGUUGACUUUAAAAGCCAAUUAUUACUAAAAUAUUUGAUCAUCAGAAUCUCACUCUAGUUUAUUUCGGUAUAGUCUGCAACUUCCUGUUCCAGCUUACUAAAACGAGUUUUUCGGCUAUGAAACCAUGAGUUAACAUUGGAAAUAUUAUUAUAAUAUUACAGAUAUUACUAUACAGAGGCUGGCUUGCCUCAUAGUUUCCCGAAAUGACUUUCCAGGGAAACUUGACCCCAUUUUUUUUAAAAAAGAAAUAUCUCUUAUACCAUACCUUAAGAAACUCUCCUAGAAAUAUUGGUGACUUCAAAAAUUAUUAGUCUUCAUUUUUAUUUUUCAUACCAAUUUUAGUAGCUUUACAGUAAAAAAUCUGUAAACUUUUUUAAAAAGCUAUUUUCAAAACAUCUUCAUUAUAUAAGCAUAACAUUUUAUGCAUUAGUAGUGUUUUAUAUCAUGUUACAUUCUUUUUUUUAAUCUUAAAAGCUUUUGAUACGCACUUCUUGCUUUGUCAUAAGAAUGCACUCCUUCCUUUUUAAUAGCUAUGUUAUUCUCCUUGGGUUAUAUAUAAUAAUUUAUUUCCCUGCUUGUUGCACAUCUGAGUUGUUCCCAUUGUUUUUGAUAAAAAUAAUGUGUUUUACUUUUCUCCCCUUUGGGAUAAAUGCUUAGAUAAAGUCUUCAGAGUGGAAUUACUAGGUCAGUUACUGGCUAAGUGAUCUGAUAGCUCUUUUAUCAUUGCCAAAAGAUAUGUGCGACCCAAGGCUUUUUAAUGUGCCUGUUCUCCAUAGCUUGAUUCAAUACUGGAUAUGAAUUGUGGUAUUUGAUGCAUUGCUUUUAUUUGUAUUUAUUUUAUUGGUAAUAAAAUGGAAUAUUUUUAAUGAACACUUUGUGCUUCUUCAUGUAUAAGCUCUCAGGGUCUUUUAACUGCUUAUCUUAAGGAGUCUGGUUAAUAAGCCUCAUAGAUUUGUACCAACUUUGUAUAUUUUAAUAUAAAAUACUUUUUCUGGUAAUUUCCACAUUUUUUAAAAAUGGGACAUCAUUAAUAUUUUUUCAGUAUUACUUUAGUGUUGUGAAUUAUUGAUUAGAAUAUGCUCUAGUCUUUAUUCACUAUAGAUUUUGCUAAUAUUGAAAUUUGAUUUAGAGAAUCUUACAUGGCUGCUUAUUGUUUCAAACUUAUUUAACUUUAUGUUGCUAUCAGAUCUAACUAUAUUUUGCUAAACUGUUUCUUAAAGACUUAUAAGGUAAAUGCCUUAUUCAUCAUCUGUGAAAAUAAAAAUUAAUGAAAUUAGUUUCACAUGCUACUCAGUCUGUAGUUUAUUUCUAGGUAUAAGCAACCAGCUGUAUAAUUUUUUCAGGUUAUAUAUGUGAAUGCUGUCAGCUCUUUCUAAUUGGAUUAGUCUGGAACUUUUAUGUGUGAUACUGUCCUCUCAUAAUGAGGACAUUAUGAUUUCAAAAGGAUUUGUGUUUUAUGUUGUACACUAGGGUUUUUUAAACCCAUUUAUUGGAAUAUUGGUAUGUCUAGAUUUUUUUUAUUAGAAACUGAAAAACUUUUCUGCUUUCCCUGUUAUAUACAUGUUCUUUCAUUUUUCCCAUCUUUAACCAAAAUGAACUAAUAUUACCUUUCAAAGUAAUACAAAAUUUGAGCCUGAAGCACAGCUCCUCUUAUUGCCCUCUCUUUGUCAUUAUUGGUCCUCCCAAAAAGGUGGUUGACUUUUAAUACUUAAUUUUUCAGCUUUUACUAAAAUAAUCUUCACAAUCUUGUUUAUGUCUGCCAAGUGACAAUAAAGCAAAAAAAAAAAAAUUCAAAAUUAUUUUAUUUAAAUGAAAGAUUUCUGUGUACACAUUUGGAAGCAUAUGGUAUAUUUUACAAAGGUUGAAAUCAUUCAAGUGAAAUUAUUUCCAUCUGGCCGUUUUAAAUUCAAUAUUUUUUAAAUGUGCACCCAAAGCCAGGCUUGAUGGCUUAUAUCUGUAAUCCAGACAUUUGGGGAGGCCAAGGCAGACAGAUCAACUAAGUCCAGGACAUCAAGACCGAACUGGAUAACAUGGCAAAACCGUCUCUACAAAAAAAAUUCUAACAUUAGCUGGGUGUGGUGUCACACAUCUGUAGUCCUAACUACUCAGGAGGCUGAAACAGGAGGAUUUCUUGAGCCUAGGAGGUUGAAGAUGCAGUAAGCCAUGAUUGCACCCCUGCACUGUAUCCUGGAUGACAGAACAAGAUCCUGUCUCCAAAUGAAAUAAGAUAAAAUAAAAUAAAUGUGCCCCUAAGUAUAGAGUAUGUAUUUCCCAUAGCUAAUUUAAUUCUUUAAUUCAUCUGAAUCAAUUAUUUUGUUAAUAUAACUCUUUUAUUAUUUAUUUAUUUAUUUAUUUUUUUGAGACGGAGUUUCGCACUUGUUACCCAGGCUGGAGUGCAGUGGCGUGAUCUCGGCUCACCGCAACCUCCGCCUCCUGGGUUCAGGCAAUUCUCCUGCCUCAGCCUCCCGAGGAGCUGGGAUUACAGGCACGUGCCAACAUGCCCAGCUAAUUUUUUGUAUUUUUAGUAGAGACGGGGUUUCACAAUGUUGACCAGGAUGGUCUCCAUCUCUCGACCUCGUGAUCCACCCGUCUCAGCCUCCCAAAGUGCUGGGAUUACAGACUUGAGCCACCGUGCCUGGCUAUAACUUUUUUAUAGUCAGCAGGCAGUCAUUUAUGCUCAUUGGCACUGAUGGCUAGAGUAAACUUUCUUUUGUUAAUUUUGGAAUUUUUUUUGUCUUCUAGUUUCUCAUGAGAUAUCAGAAAUGAAAUCGGAAGUGGAUGAGUUUAUUCAACUAGCUUCUAUGUCUAGUGUAGUUUGUUGGCCUUGGCCUAGUUCUUUUUUUUUUUUUUUUUUUGAGAGGGAGUUUCGCUCUUUUCACCCAGGCUGGAGUGCAAUGGCACGAUCUCGGCUCACCGCAACCUCUGCCUCCUGGGUUCAGGCAAUUCUCCUGCCUCAGCCUCCUGAGUAGCUGGGAUUACAGGCACGCGCCACCGUGCCCAGCUAAUGUUUUGUAUUUUUAGUAGAGACGGGGUUUCACCAUGUUGACCAGAAUGGUCUCGGUCUCUUGACCUCGUGAUCCACCCACCUCGGCCUCCCAAAGUGCUGGGAUUACAGGCUUGAGCCACCGCGCCCGGCCUUGGCCUAGUUCUUUAUAUCAUGCCUGAAACCACCCAGGCUAGGGUUACAUGAGCUCUCUCCAGUCACGCAGUACCUCCAUUUUCUGGGAACAUUUCUGCCUCAACGUUUAAUGUUAACUCUUUUGGUUACCAUUAAAGAAUUUUACAUAGUCAUGAGGUUCACACAACUCAGGGCAGGUAGUACAUAUCUCUCUUCCCUUUCUUGUAUCCAUACUUUGUCGCUUUCUGUGCUUUAUUUUUGGAAAAAGACCCUCAGAUUUUGAAUUAACACAGUUAAACUCCGACAUCUUCCCUUUCUUAAGGAGAUCUUCCAUACUGAGAAGAUUACUUUUAUUCUGCUUUGAAAUACAACUGGUAUUGUGAGACAAACUGCUAAGUAGACUCUUGGUGAUUCCCAGUGACUAGAAUAUAAUGAAGGGAAACAGAACCGUUGAUUCUCUCAUUGCUGCCCAGUUCUCUUUCCUUAUCACUGCACUUUCUACUUUUCCUGACUCAGCCUAGCCUCAAAUCUAGUUUUGUGUGAGGAUUAGCAGAGUCAGUCCUUCUGUGUCCACCUGUUGUUUUUUUCCUGUGCUAGUUAUAGAAUGUUGUAUAAAAUGUUGCAUUUCUCCAUUGCCUCUUUUUUUUUUUUUUGAGAUGGUGUUUCGUUUUUGUUACCCAGGCUGGAGUGCAAUGGCGAGAUCUCGGCUCACCGCAACCUCCGCCUCCUGGGUUCAGGCAAUUCUCCUGCCUCAGCCUCCCGAGUAGCUGGGAUUACAGGCACACGCCACCGUGCCCAGCUAAUUUUUUGUAUUUUUAGUAGAGACGGGGUUUCACCAUGUUGACCAGGAUUGCCUCUUAGAUCAAAUUUAAAUACAUCGUCUGAAGAUACUAAGCUUUCAUUCAUUCUUUCAUUAUGUAUGAUCGGUAUGCUUAGUAAAAGAAGGGUGCCUCCUUAUUGUUCCUCACAUCCUUCUGCCAUGACUUUCCACCAUUCCAAAUUCUGCUUAUAUUUCAAAUCAGUUUGCAUCCUGCCUGCUUAUGAUUCUUUUCCUGAAAAUCCCAGUCCACACUUUGAGUUGUUCUUUUGGUCUUUAUUAAUACUCACUGCUAAUAGCACAACUUUAAAUAGUUAACUCUACUGUGUAUUCAGAUAGUUUUGGCUGAUGCCUAUAAUCUCAGCGCUUUGGGAGGCCCAGGUGGGUAGAUCACCUGAUAUCAGGAGUUUGAGACCCAGGAAGUGGAGUUUGCAGUAAGCUGAGAUUGCACCACUGUGCUCCAUCUCAAAAAAAAAAAAAAAUUGGCAAGGUUCAAUGGCUCAUGCCUGUAAAUCCCAGCACUUGGGAGGCCAAGGUGGGUGGAUCACCUGAAGUCAGGAGUUCAAGAGCAGCCUGACCAACAUCGAGAAACCUCAUCUCUACAAAAAAUACAAAAUUAUCUGGGCAUGGUGGCACAUGUCUGUAAUUCCAGCUACUUGGGAGGCUGAGGUAGGAGAAUCACUUGAACCCAGGAAGCAGAGGUUGCGGUGAGCCAAGAUUGUGCCAUUGUACUCCAGCCUGGGCGACAAGAGUGAAACGCCAUCUCAAAAAAAAAAAAUGUUUUUGGAUUUCAUAAGUAAAUAUAUUUUCCCCAGAUUAAAAAAAAAAUCACUUAAGGGUUUGAUCAUGCAUAUAUUUUUUCUGACAUGAACUUGUGGAUAUCAAGUGAGCACCUUCAUUUUCCUUCUAAUUGCUUAUUUCCCAAAUCAAAUCAAAUCUGCUAUUGCUCCUACAUUUCUUGCUUAAUUUACAGAAACCCUGUUCUUUCAGUACCUGAUUUAAAAUUCUCAGAACCCUCUUGCAUUCCAUCCAUUCCCUCAGAACCAAAAUGAAUCUUAUCAUCAAGUGCAACAGAUUAUACUUCUGGUUUCUUUCUUCCAUUUCCUCAUGUCUAGUUCGGUCCUCUGUUCUCUUUCCUGGACAUUAUAACAGCUUCAUAAGGUGUCUUCUUGUUGCUAAUCUCUGGAUUGUUUCUUACCCAGGGAUCCUGUAGCAACAUUGUUUUAAAACACUGCCUUAUUCAAAAAACAGCAGGCAUCUGUUUUGUCCUCAAGGACUUUAAAUAACGUGAAGGAGAUAAUCCUAUACACACCUGCUGUAAUUAAAGGUAGAGUUUAAUAACAGUAACACUAGGCUAUAAGGAGAGAUCCAUGGGAAUGCAGGAGGACAGAUAAGUGAUUAAGACAAGGUUUUAUUCAUUCAAUUUACAAAUAUGUAUUGACCAUUUAGGGCUGAGUACUUUUACAUGCUGGAUAUGCAAUAUUGAACAAACCAAACAUGGGUCAUUCUUUCAUUGGGUUUAUGGUCUUGUGGUAGAGAUACAUGAUUAACGGGUAAACCAAAAUAUUACAUAAUGACAAGCUACAUCCAAUUGUAGGCAAAGAUUAGGGUGCCGUGAAAGAGCGUGACAGAAAGGACCCAGACUUCAUGUGGUCAUUUUGAAAUAAAAAGGAAUUUAGGUGGGAAGAUAGGGGCAAACAUUCUAGGCAAAUAUCCUUGUCUUUUAUUUCACUGGGAAAAUAGAUACCAAAAGUCAUGAGUACCCUUCACUUCCCAUUCCCAUACCUUAAACAUUACUGUUGAGACCAACUGACAGGAGGGACGGGGGGCAAGAAAGAUGAGGCAGACACAGGGUACCACGAGGAAAGUCUGUUACUACUAUGACAGGAAUAUUGGAAGUUACUAUUAUAGACAAGGCCAUCCAAUGAUCGCAAUUUGCUGCCCAACUAUGGUCUCUACUGAAAAAUAGAAAUCUGUCACCCUCACAAAGCCAGUGCUGAGGAGAGAUGAUCAAGUAACACAGUGAUGACUACAGUAAAUUCUUGUGUUCUAUCACUCCAGAUUACAUGUUCGAGCACAGCAAGCAGACGCAGAGUCAACGUCGGUGAGAACUGUCCGGUAUUCAAUGGUUUGUUUGAAUUCCGACAGUUGUCUACUGAUGACUCUGUGGCAAGGGCUGUGAAACUUAAGAAGCAGCAGAUGAACAUCACUGUGAAUUGGGCUGGGGGCUUGCACCGUGCAAAGAAGUCCGAGGUAUCUGGCUUCGUUGUACCAGUGACAUUGUCUUGGCCAUCCUGGAGCUGCUGAAGUAUCACCAGAGGGUGCUGUAUAUUGACAUUGAUAUUCACACGGCGAUGGCAUGGAAGAGGCCUUCUAUAUCACAGACUGGGUCAUGACUAUGUAUUUCCCUAACUAUGGAGAGAACUUUUCAGGAACUAGGGAACUGCAGGAUAUUGGGGCUGGCAAAGGCAAGUAUUAUGCUGAUAAAUACCUGUUCCGAGAUGGGAUUGACGACGAGUUCUAUGAGGUCACUUUCAGGCUGGUUAUGUUCAGAGUAAUGGAGAUGUUCCAGCCUACUGCAAUAUUCUUAUAGUGUGGCUCAGACUCCUUAUCUGGGGAUUGGUUAGGGUGCUUCAACCUGACCAUCAAAGUGCAUGCUGGGGGGCAUAUCAAGUAUGUGGAAUUUGUCAGGAGCUUUAACUUGCCUAUGCCAAUGCUGGGAGGAGGUGGUUACAUCAUUUGUAAUGUUGCAGAGUGCUGGACAUAGGAGACAGCUGUGGCCCUGGAUACAGAGAUCCCUAAUGAGCUUCCAUACAGUAACUACUUGGAAUACUUCGGACCAGAUUUCAAGCUCUACAUCAGCCCUUCCAGUAUGACUAGCCAGGACAUGAAUGAGUACCUGGAGAAGAUAAAUAGUGACUGUUUGAGAACCUGAGAAUGCCGCCCCACACACCUGUCUCCACAUGCACGUGAUCCCAGAGGAUGCUGUCCCUUAAGAGAGAGGCGAUGAGAGUGAAGAAGACCCUGACAAGCACAUCUCAGUCUGUUUCUCUGACAAAUGAAUUGCCUGUGAGGAAGAGUUCUCCGACUGAUGAGGUGGGAGAGGGUGGCCACAAGAACUCUUUCAACUUCAAAAAAAAGCCAAGAGAGUCAAAAGAGGAUGAAAAAGAGAAAGACCCAGAUAAGAAGACCAAAGUCACAGAAGAGGAGAGAAUCAAAGAGGAGAAGCCAGAAGCCACAAGGGUCAAGAAGCAGGUCCAGCUCUGGCUUCUUGCCGAGUUCCCUACCUUUCUCCCCCAGCAUCUCAGAUUUUAUAUUUUCUAUUUCUCUGUGUAUCUAUAGGAAAAUUUAUUAAAUGUAAAUAUCCCCAGGGACUAGACAGAAACCAAGGCCCUGAGCCCCGGGCAGCUGUGCUGGGCAAACUCUUCUAGGAGCUGCCUUGCCACCCAUCCUUCCAUCCUUCCCCAGUUCUUAACUUUGAACCAUAAAGAGUGCCAGGUCUUGGUGAAAGGGAUACUUUUAUGCAACCAUAAGACAAAAUCCUGAAAUGCCAAAUAUCUGUUUAGUAGCUUUGGAAAGGUGCCCUUACUGAGCAUUCUAUAAAAGGUGGCCAGGUCUUCAAGGAUCUCCUGUUCUUUUCAGGCUUCUAACAUAAUAUCAGCCAUUUUUAGAUUGGCUGUUUUCAUACCUUCCCAGUGGCCUCAGGUGAGCCAAAAACUAACGCCUGCCCUUUUUCUUCCCCUAAUUCUUCAUGCAGUGGUUGGUGGUCUAGUUUCCUUUUCGAGAUACUGUUUUCAUUUUUGAGACUCUUUGUAAUAAAAUGGUACAUUUUUAUAAAAAGUUAACUGUUUAGACCCCCUCUCACCACUGCCUGUCACAGUGGAAAGAUGUGUUUUCUCUUGUUCAAGACUUCACUCACUCAUCUGUUUAUCUGCCUUCCUUCUCAGUACCUCACCCCUUCAGUAAGGUUCUCUCUUCUGUAACCAUCAAGACCGUGUCUCUAUCCACUCCUUUUCUUCAGCUUUUAUACAUACUUGAAUGUCUUCCAUUAAAAAAGGCAUCCCUUCAAGCUGGCAAUCCCUUUUCAGUACUGCUGUCUUGCUCCUCCUUUGUAGUGAGUUUUUUUGAACAGUAUGUACACUUAAACCAUCACCUGUUCCUCACCAAUCCAUUUACCUUUUGGUUCCUGAUGUCACCACUCCACUGAAACUUUCCCCAGCAGAGUCCCCCAUCUCUGUUGCUAAACAGAAGGGCUUAUUUUUUUAGCUAUCACUUUAUUUGACCAUUUGGCCAUAUUUGACAGUACAACACUUUCCCCUCUUCGAAGAACUCUUUCCUUGCCUUCCAUGUCAUGCUGUGCAGGUUUUCCUUUUUGCAUUUCUUUUCUUUCUAACCUUUAAACGCUGGUGUUCCUUGAGGCUGUACUCUCAGCCCUCUUCCAUUCAUUCUUAUGCUAUUCAUUCUUCCUGGAGAAUCCCAUCCACCCCCACAGCUUCUGUACAGCAUCAUCUGUAGGCUAAGGAUUCCUAAGUCUCAAUCCCUAGCCCAGAUUUUUCUUGAGCCUCAGAAUAAAGUAACAGAGUAAUUAUAGAACAUGUCUAUUGAGAUAUCCCAUAGUACCUCAAACUCAACUUGUCUAAAACUGAGCUCCAUUUUUCUCGAUCCAUUCUUCCCUCUCUGAGUUUGGUUUCUCAGUGAAUGAUACCAGCCUCUCUAUUCAGUUGUCUGAAUGAGAAAUCUGGGCAUUAUCUUCCAUUUCUUCUUCUUUUUCUCUCUACCCCUAUGUCCAGUAAUGUAGAUAGAUAUAUGGAUAGCCAUCCUUUGUAAUCAUGAAUUGUGAUUAAAAAGUUCCAUAAAACUGUAUAAAUCAUGAAGUUUUGCUCAUUUUACCAGCAAAAUGUUGGACACGUCUUUUGUUUCCAUAUUGCCACUGUCUACCUUAAAAUUGGGGUGUUAUCAUCUCUCUUCUAGGUUUUAGCUAAAGCCUCUUAGUUGAUUUCUGUGCUUCUAGUCUUGAACCUCUCUAACCCACUCCCUCCAUACGAGCCAGAGAGACUUUUGAAAAUCAUACCGUGAAAAAUAACCAUUACAUGCUGGUUUUGCCUGAGGUCCUCUUUACACCUGCGUUUUCUCUCCUGGUUCUUUGCCUUCCUUCCACUUCCUUUUUGCAUGAUUGACCCAUAUUUAUCCUACCUGAAUCUAACUUUUUACUUACUUAGUAUUCUACUAUUUAUUAAUCUUACUCCACUUGUUAUUAUUUUCAACUUGUAAUCUUAAAUUUGAGAACAUCAACAAGGACUUGGGGAACUUGAAGUAUUUCUGUCUAGUUCAUGUUUGUUAUUUGUCUUCUUUGUCCAUUCUCAUUCAUUAUUAUAACAACAAACAUCCAAAGAGCUCCCAAUAAAGAGUAAUGUGUUCGCAUGUUCUCACUCAUAGGUGGGUGUUGAACAAUGAGAACACAUGGACACAGAUAGGGGAACAUCACACACUGUGGUCAGUCGGGGAGAAAUAGGGGAGGGACAGCGGGGGGUGGGGAGUUGGGGAGAGAGAGCAUGGGGAGAAAUGCCAGAUAUAGGUGAUGGGGAGGAAGGCAGCAAAUCACACUGCCAUGUGUGUACCUAUGCAACAAUCUUGCACGUUCUUCAUAUGCACCCCAGAACCUAAAAUGCAAUUUAAAAAAAAAAGAGUAAUGUGUUAAUAAAAGGAUAAUUAGAUUCAUUUGUUUGUAUUGAUAUGUGUGUGGAAGGGUAGGAUUUGCUAUGAAUAUACUUUAUAUAUACUUAAAGACUUUUAAGCAUCAGCUGAGCUACUGCUUCCAUAUGCCUUCCUUAUUUCCUCUGCUUGUGCAGCUAUAGAAUUGAAUCAGUAAAGAUGUCAAGGAAUAGACUGCCUGGAUUGGCACUUGAUCGGUGCGGGAAGGAUUGUAUGUACUGUGUUAACUGUCCUUAAGUAGUUCAUUAUGUUCUCUGAGGGUGUUUUCACCUUCCAACCUAGGAAAUUCUGCCAACAACAGAAUUUUAUUUCUACAGAUGCUGGUGCCUGAUUCUUGCUCAGGCUUCUGUCAGACAUACUGUUUGAGAGGGGAGAGGUAAGGAACAGGAAAGGCCUUAAUAUUUGGAGGAAUUGUGUGGCAUCUUUUGCUUCUCUGCUUUGCUAAUUUGUUUUCCCUCCUGAUGUUCACCCACCCCAACGCUUUUCCUUUACUGACAAAUAAUCACUGAAAACAUAUGGUAGAAUUAUCAUUUGUAGUAGGUCUAGUUUCAUUUAAAUUAGUUGGAUAACAGGAGAACUUCCACAACCUAGCAAGACAGACCAGAAUUCAAAUUCAGGAAAUACAGAGAAUACCACAAAAAUACUCCUCGAUUUAACUUGAAGAGGUAACCACAAAAUAAAAUUUAAAAAAAAACUCCUUGAGAAGAGCAACCCCAAGACACAUAAUUGUCACACCCAGGUGAAACAAAGGAAAAAAUGUUAAAGGCAUUCACAGGGAAAGAUCAGGUUACUCACAAAGGGAACCCAUCAGACUAACAGAGGAUCUCUCUGCAGAAACCCUACAAGCCAGAAGAGAGUGGGGGCCAAUAUUAAACAUUCUUAAAGAAAGAGUUUCAAUUCAAGCCAAGCUAAGCUUCAUAAGCGAAGGGGAAAUAAAAUCCUUUACAGACAAGCAAAUGCUGAGAGAUUUUAUCACCACCAGGCCUGCCUUACAAGAGCUCCUGAAGGAGGCACUAGUUAUGGAAAGGAAAAACCAGUACCAGCCACUAAAAAACAUAACAAAUUGUAAAGACCAUUGAUUGACACAAUGAAGAAACUGCAUCAACUAAUGGGCAUAAUAAACAGCUAGCAUAAUAAUGACAGAUUCAGAUUCACACAUAAUAAUAUUAACCUUAAAUGUAAAUGGGCUAAAUGCCCCAAUUAAAAGACACCGACUGGCAAAUUGGAUAAAAAGUCAAGACCUAUUGGUGUGUAUCUAUGCAAUUGGUGUGUACCUAUUCAGGAGACUCAUCUCAUGUGCAAAGGCACACAUAGUCUCAAAAUAAAGGGAAAGAGGAAUGUUUUCCAAGGAAAUGGAAAGGAAAAAAAAGCAGGGUUUGCAGUCCUCGUCUCUGAUAAAACAGACUUUAAACCAACAAAGAUCAAAAAAGACAAAGGCAUCACAUAAUGGUAAAGGGAUCAAUACAGCAAGAAGAGCUAACGAUCGUAAAUACAUUCGCACUCAAUACAGGAGCACCCAGAUUCAUACAGCAAGUUCUUAGAGACCUACAAAGAACUUAGACUCCCACACAGUAGUGGCGGGAGACUUUUAACACCUCACUGUCACUAUUAGAUCAAUGAGACAGAAAACUAACAAGGAUAUUCGGUACUUGAACUCAGCUCUGGACCAGGCGGACCUAAUAGACAUCUACAGAACUCUUCACCCCAAAUCAACAGAAUAUACAUUCUUUUCAGCACCACAUCACACUUAUUCUAAAAUUGGCCACAUAAUUGAAAGUAAAACACUCCUUAGCAAAUGCAAAAGAAUGGAAAUCAUAACAAACAGUCUCUGAGACCACAGUGCAGUCACAUUAGAACUCAGAAUUAAGAAACUCACUCAAAACCACACAGCUACAUGGAAACUGAACAACCUGCUCCUGAAUGACUAUUGGGUAAAUAAUGAAAUGAAGGCAGAAAUAAAUAAGUUCUUUGAAAUCAAUGAGAACAAAGACACAACAUACCAGGAUCUCCGGAAUACAGCUAAAGCAGUGUUUAGAGGAAGUUUAUAGCACUAAAUGCCCAUAGGAGAAAGCGGGAAAGAUCUAAAAUCAACACCCUAACAUCACAAAUACAAGAACUAGAGAAGCAAGGGUAAGUAAAUUAAAAGCUAGCAGAAGACAAGAAAUAACUAAGAUCAGAGCAGAACUGAAGGAGGUAAACCCUUCAAAAAAUUAAUGAAUCCAGGAGCUGGUUUUUUGGAAAAGAUUAACAAAACAGACCACUAGCCAGACUAAUAAAGAAGACAAGAGAGAAGAAUCAAAUAGAUGCAAUAAAAAAUGGUAGAGGGGCUAUCCCCACUGAUCCCACGGAAAUAGAAACAACUAUCAGAGAGUACCAUAAACACCUCUAUGGAAAUAAACUAGAAAAUCUAGAAGAAAUGGAUACAUUUCUGUACACAUACACAGUCCCAAGACUAAACCAGAAAGAAGUCAAAUCCCUGAAUAGACCAAUAACAAGUUCUGAAAUUGAUGCAGGAAUUAAUAGCCUUCCAACCGAAAAAAGCCUAGGACCAGAUGGAUUCACAGCCAAAUUCUACUAGAGCUCCAAAGAGGAGUUGGUACCAUUCCUUCUGAAACUUUUUCAAGCAUUAGCAAAAGAGAGACUCCUUCCUAACUCAUUUUAUGAGGCCAGUAUCAUCCUGAUACUAAAACUUGGCAGAAACACAACCUAAAAAGAAAACUUCAGGCCAGUGUCCCUGGUGAACAUUGAUGUGAAAAUCCUCAAUAAAAUACUGGCAACUCAAAUCCAGCAGCACAUCUAAAAGCUUAUCCACAACAAUCAAAUCUGCUUCAUCCCUGGGAUGAUGCAAGACUGAUUCAUCAUAUGUAAACCUAUAAACGUAAUACAUCACAUAAACAGAACCAAUGACAAAAACCACAUGAUUAUCUCAAUAGAUGUAGAAAAGGACUUUGAUAUAAAAUUAAGCACCCCUUCAUGCUAAAAAAAAAAAAAACUUUCAAUAAACUAGGUAUUGAUGGAACAUAUCUCAAAAUAAUAAGAACUAUUUAUGGCAAACUCAGAGCCAAUAUUAUACUGAAUGGGCAAAAGCUAGAAGCAUUCCUUUUGAAAACCAGCACAAGACAAGGAUGUCUCUCUCACCACUCCUAUUCAACAUAGUAUUGGAAGUUCCGGCCAGGGCAAUCAGGCAAGAGAAAAAAUAAAGAGUAUUCAAAUAGGAAGAGAGGAAGUCAAAUUCCUUCUGUUUGCAGAUGACGUGAUUGUAUAUUUAGAAGACCCCAUCAUCUCAGCCCAAAAUCUCCAUAAGAUGAUAAGCAACUUCGGCAAAGUCUCAGGAUACAAAAUCAAUGUGCAAAAAUCACAAGCAUUCAUAUGUACCAAUAAGAGAUAAACAGAGAGACAAAUCAUGAGUGAGCUCCCAUUCACGAGUGCUACAAAGAAUAAAAUACCUAGGAAUACAACUAACAAGGGAUGUGAAGGACCUCUUCAAGGAGAACCACAAACCAUUGCUCAAGGAAAUAAGAGAGGACACAAACAAAUGGAAAAGCAUUUCAUGCUCAUGGAUAGGAAGAAUCAAUAUUGUGAAAAUGGCCAUACUGCCCAAAGUAGUUUAUAGAUUCAAUGCUAUCCCCAUCAAGCUACCAUUGACUUUCUUCCCAGAAUUAGAAAAAAACUACUUUAAAUUUUGUAUGGAACCAAAAAAGAGCCCGUAUAGCACAGACAAUCCAAAGCAGAAAGAACAAACCUGGAGGCAUCACACUACCUGAUGCUACACUGCUGCGGUAACCAAAACAGUAUGGUACUGAUACCAAAACAGAUAUUAGACCAAUGGAACAGAACAGAGGCCUCAAAAGUAACGCCACACAUCUACAACCAUCUGAUCUUUGACAAAAACAAAAACCUGACAUAAACAAGCAAUGGGGAAAGGAUUCCCUAUUAAUAAAUGGUGUUGGGAAAAGUGGCUAGCCAUAUUCAGAAAACUGAAACUGGACUCCUUCCUACACCUUAUACAAAAACUAAGAUGGAUUAAAGCCUUAAAUGUAAGACCUAAAACCAUAAAAACCCUAGAAGAAAACCUAGGCAGUACCAUUCAAAACAUAGGCAUAGGCAAAGACUUCAUUAUUAAAACACCAAAAGCAAAGGCAAUGAAAGCCAAAAUAGACAAAUGGGAUCUAAUUAAACCAAAGAGCUUCUGCACAUCAAAAGAAACUAUCAUCAGAGUGAACAAGCACCCCACAGAACGGGAGAAGAUUUUUGCAAUCUAUCCGCCUGACAAAGGGCUAGUAUCUAGAAUCAGCAAGUAACUUAAACAAAUUUACAAGAAAAAACAACCCCAUCAAAAAGUGGUUGAAAGAUAUGAACAGACACUUCUCAAUAGAAGACAUAUAUGCAGCCAACAAACAUAUAAUUAUAUAUAUCUACAUAUAUAUAUAAAGCUCAUCAUCACUGGCCAUUAGAGAAAUGCAAAUCAAAACCGCAAUGAGAUACCAUCUAAUGACAGUUAGAAUGGAGAUCAUUAAAAAGUCAGGAAACAACAGAUACUGGAGAGGAUGUGAAGAAAUAGGAAUGCUUUUACGCUGUUGAUGGGAGUGUAAAUUAGUUCAACCAUUAUGGAAGACAAUGUGGCGAUUUCUCAAGGAUCUAGAACCAGAAAUACCAUUUGACCCAGUAAUCCCGUUACUGGGUAUGUACUCAAAGGAUUAUAAAUCAUUCUACUAUAAAGACACAUGCACAUAUAUGUUUAUUGUGGCACUGUUCACAAUAGCAAAGACUUGGAACCAACCCAAAUGCCCAUCAGUGAUAGACUGGAUGAAGAAAAUGUGGCACAUAUACACAUGGAAUACUAUGCAGCCCUAAAAAUGGAUGAGUUUUUGUCCUUUGCAGGGACAUGGAUGAAGCUGGAAACCACCAUGGCACGUGUAUGCCUAUGUAACCUGCAUAUUCUGCACAUGUAUCCCAGACCUUAAAGUAUAAUUAAAAAAUAAUAAGAAUUUAAAACAGUAGUUGGAUAAGGCACUUAAAUUUCCAUAGCCCAAUGUGGUGAUAAAUCAAGUUAGUGGUAGUCUUUUAAGAGUUACAUGUCUGCAUGCUCACUUCAGCAGCACAUAUACUAAAAAAAAAAAAAGGUUACAUGUCUGCACUGCAUAUUCUUAUAAGUGGGUUUUGAACAAUGAGAACACAUGGACACAGGGAGGGGAACAUCACACACCAGGGUCUUUUAGAGGGUUGGGGGGCUAGGUGAGGGAUAGCAGGGGGGGAUUGGGGAGGGAUAACAUUAGGAGAAAUGCCUAAUGUAGAUGAUGGGGGGAUAGAUGCAGCGAACCACCAUGGCAUGUGUAUACCUAUGUAACAAUCCUGCACGAUCUGUACAAGUACCCCAGAACUUUAAGUAUAAUAAGAAAAAAGAAAGAGAAAGAAAGAAAAGAAAAAGGAAGAAAAAAAGAAGGAAAGAAAGAGAAAGAAAAAGCAGGCACAAAAGAGUACAUAUUUUUGUGCCUGACUCCAUUACAUGAACUUCAAGACUAAGAAACAUUAAUGUAUGGUGUUGAAAAGCAGGAUGAAGGGAGGUAGUUGGGGCAUGAGGAGGUUUCGGGGAUAAAGGGUGGUGGCAGUGUUUUCUGGUUCUGGGGGGUGGCUGCAUGUAUGUUCAUUUCAUGAAAGUUCAUAUGCAUUUGUGCAAUUGCCUGUAAAUAUGUCAUACUCCAAUAAUAUUAAAAAUAUAAAGCCCAUAUGGCAAAGAAAAAAAGAGUUACAUGUCUGCAUGAUUGUAUUUUUAAAAUACAUUAAUUCUCUAGAAAGUUUAAUUUAAAAAUGUAUCAUGUGGCCAGGCAUGGUGGCUUAUGCCUGUAAUCCCAGCACUUGGGGAAACUGAGGCAAGCAGAUUGUUUGAUCCCAAGAGUUCAAGACCAGCCUGGGCAACAUAGUGAGACCCUCUCCUUAAAAAAAAAAAAAAAAAAAAAAUAUGUGACAAUGACCUCUGGAAAAUCCUCCAAUCCAGCACAGCACUAUUCUAAGAGAUUCCAGUUGUUAGAAAUCUGCCCUGGAUUUAUUUUUUCUAGUCAUGAGCUUUAGGUAAAUGUUAAUAAAUGAGUGGAAGGUACUUUGGCAGUCAAGGAAUUAGCCUUCAAAAGAGAUAUACAUAUAUAUAUAUGUAGUUAUUUUUCUAAUUAGUAGAACAUUGGCACAUAAAAUUUAGAGAUGGAGAAUGUACUAUACAGGACCUGGAAAAAGGCAAUUAAUAUAUCAGCAACUGGGAUGAAAACCUAAAAUUCUGUAGUAAUGAAAAGCAAACAGUCUUUCUAAAUUAAUACAAAAUUAUUCAAAUAGGUUUCUUCCAGUUCCCCAUUUACCAUGAGUUUAGUAAAUAAUCUACUAGAUUGCCUUUUCUUUUCGGUGGUGGUGAUGGUGGUAAAAACAUAACAUGUUUACUCUUUUAACGUCUUUUAAGUGUGUAUUACAGUGUCGUUAACUAUGUGUACAUUGUUGUACAAGAAAUCUCCAGAACUUUUUCAUUUUGUGUGACUAAAACUCUGUACUCAUUCAGUUUCCCCAUUUCCCGCUCCUCAGCCCCAGCAGUACAUUCUAUUAUAGUUUAUAUUUCUAUGAGUUUAACUACUUUAGAUAAUCCAUAUAAGUGAAUCAUGCAGUAUUUGUCUUUUUGUGAUUGGCUUAUUUUACCUAGCAUAAUGUCCUCAAGUUUCAUCUAUGUUGUAACAUAUGGCAAGAUUUUUUUUAAGGCUGAAUAAUAUUUUUUUGGUAUUUAUGUAUCACAUUUUCUUUAUCAAUUCAUCUGUCAAUGGACAUUUAGGUUGCUUCCACAUCUAGGCUAUUGUGACUAAUGCUGCAGUGAAUAGAAGUUUCUGAAUAUCUCUUUGAUACUCUGUUAUCAGCUUUUUUGGAUAAAUACCCAGAAGUGGGAUUACUGGAUCAUAUGGUAGCUCUAUUUUUAAUUUUUUGAGCAACCUCUGUACUGUUUUCUAUAGUGGCUAUACCAUUUUACAUUCCUGCCAGCAGUUAACAAGGGUUUUAAUUUCUCCACAUGCUCAUCGAUACUUGUUUUCUGUUUUUUUGAUGUGGCCAUCCUAAUGAAUAUAAGGUGAUACCUCACUAUGGUUUUGAGUUCCCUGAUUAUUGAUGUUGAGCAUCUUUUCACACAACAAGCAUGCCUGUUGGCCACUUCGGUAUCUUUUUUGCUAGAAAUAUUACUUUGCCCAUUUUUUAUUCAGGUUAUUUGUUUUUAUAUUAUGAGUUGCAGGCAUUCUUUACAUACUCUGAAUAUUUACUCCUUAUCCAGUAAAUGUUUUGCAAAUACUUUUCCCAUUUUCUAGCUUGCCUCCACAAGAUUGCCUUUGAAAAGCCCAGGACUGUUAUUUUACAGCCUUAGCUUGAAUCUGACUCUGGUAAUUCACAUCAACCCCUGCUUGAUUCUCACCUAAUUCCUAACUCUAGACUUAAAUUUUGACUACCCUCCCUUCCCACAUCAUGUUAGCUAUGAUAACUUUACCGUUAACCCUGAUUUUCAUUCCCUAUGACCUCUUCUUUGCUAAUAUUUUAAUAAGUGGAGAUUUUAAAAUAAGGCAUAUGGUUGGCAAAAGCCAGGAAAAAAUUAUAAUCUCUGUAUUAAUGUUAAAUGUAAAAUCUAAAGCAGAAGUUAAAAUCUGCUUUAUAAGAAGUUCUUACUUCAAAAUAUCUAAAUUUGAAAAUACUCCCUUUGAAGGAAUAAGGGAGGCAUGCUACUUUGAAUAAAUACAUUUGGUGAGUGUGUAGGAAGAUAGUCACAAUUGUCAUGUGUGUCUCAAAGUCUUAUACCUCUUUUUGGCCCACUAAUCAAACUGGAAAUGUCACAUGAAACUUGUUGGGUGAACUAGUAAUUUCACCUUUGCUGAAACAGAGCUAAAAUAAGUUCCUGAAUGUUCUGAUUGACCACACAUAAUGUAGAGUUUAUU